rnacentral:lncRNA from 1 species
GAGGAAGUGAGCUGCCAUGUACUAGGCCACGUGGCAAGGGCCUGGUUGGGGACCUCCAGGGGUUGAGAGCAUCCUCUGGACAACAUGGAAAAAGAAAAUGAAAAUGGUGACCUCAGCCCUAUAGCUAGAAGGAAUUGAAUCCUGUCAACAACGAUCUAUAGUUAAAAUACAUAGGGAAGGGCUUCAAGAUGGCUGACUAAAGGCACCUAGCACUCGCCUCCUCUGGAAAAAAGGACCAAAACAGCUAUUGGGUUUGGAGUGAAUUCUCAGAAACAUCACUACUGACAUAACUCCAUAAAGAAUUCAUAAUUUCUACUCACAUGUUUUACCCACAUCAAUAACAGAAUCUCAGGAAAACCAAAGUGGAGUUUACAAUGUUCAUUUUGACACUGUGCAUUAGACUUCUCGACUUCAAGCUACAAAAACCAGCACAGAACCUGGAAAAAUUUUACCUCCUGGCAUUUUUGUUUCUCUACCCUGAUGCUUGUUGUUGAGUUUUACCCAUGCUUUGACCAUCAGCAAAUUGAAGACUCAUCACUCACUGCAGAUGUUACUUUAAGACAUUCUGGAGCAGCGUCAUGUGCAGUCAUGUGAAAGUAUAUUCCAAACCCAGAACCUGAGCACAGAUUGGGACUGAGAAACACUUGUCUAGAUUGUCAGGCAAUCUGUAACAUCAGCAGUGGAUGGAAAGAAGGAGAAAGAUGAGUUUUAUGGACGCUAACCCAUCUAUAUGGCUUUGGAAAAUAAAGUACUGCUGUUUUUUUUUGUAAAGG